rnacentral:rRNA from 1 species
CCUACGGGCGGCAGCAGUGGGGAAUAUUGGACAAUGGGCGAAAGCCUGAUCCAGCCAUGCCGCGUGUGUGAAGAAGGCCUUCGGGUUGUAAAGCACUUUCAGUGGGGAAGAAAGCCUUGGGGCUAAUACCCUCGAGGAAGGACAUCACCCACAGAAGAAGCACCGGCUAACUCCGUGCCAGCAGCCGCGGUAAUACGGAGGGUGCGAGCGUUAAUCGGAAUUACUGGGCGUAAAGCGCGCGUAGGCGGUCUGAUAAGCCGGUUGUGAAAGCCCCGGGCUCAACCUGGGAACGGCAUCCGGAACUGUCAGGCUAGAGUGCAGGAGAGGAAGGUAGAAUUCCCGGUGUAGCGGUGAAAUGCGUAGAGAUCGGGAGGAAUACCAGUGGCGAAGGCGGCCUUCUGGACUGACACUGACGCUGAGGUGCGAAAGCGUGGGUAGCAAACAGGAUUAGAUACCCCUGAGUC